rnacentral:rRNA from 1 species
AUUGAACGCUGGCGGCAGGCUUAACACAUGCAAGUCGAACGAGUGGCGGACGGGUGAGUAAUGGUUGGGAAACUGGCUUAUUGAGGUGGAUAACUACGGGAAACUGUAGCUAAUCCCGCUUACCAUAGGUUGCGCCCACGUGGGAUUAGGUAGUUGGUGAGGUAAAGGCUCACCAAGCCGACGAUCUCCAGCUGGUCUGAGAGGAUGACCGGCCACACUGGGACUGAGACACGGCCCAGACUCCUACGGGAGGCAGCAGUGGGGAAUAUUGCGCAAUGGGGGCAACCUGACGCAGCCAUGCCGCGUGAAUGAAGAAGGCCUUCGGGUUGUAAAGUUCUUUCGGUAGCGAGGCGUUAACUACAGAAGAAGCACCGGCUAACUCCGUGCCAGCAGCCGCGGUAAUAC